CAGGGUGACUUUGGAUCAGAACUCCAGAGAAAAGUGAGCAAAGCCGCAUUUGUCAAGAACCAGUUGUAAUGUGUGUUUUCCAGGUAUCCCACAUAUUCAGUAAUAACCUCAAUAACCUUCUUGGAAGCCUGCCUUAUAGGAAACAUCUCAACAACAGCAAAGACUCUAUUUAAGAUUCUCAAAGCCUGUCUGAGCUGGAGAAGAAACAUUAAGAACUACUUAUAAUGAGAAGACCAUACUUUAUAAUGUCAUGCAA
rnacentral:lncRNA from 1 species